rnacentral:rRNA from 1 species
AGCGAACGCUGGCGGCAGGCCUAACACAUGCAAGUCGAACGAACUCUUCGGAGUUAGUGGCGGACGGGUGAGUAACACGUGGGAACGUGCCUUUAGGUUCGGAAUAACUCAGGGAAACUUGUGCUAAUACCGAAUGUGCCCUUCGGGGGAAAGAUUUAUCGCCUUUAGAGCGGCCCGCGUCUGAUUAGCUAGUUGGUGAGGUAAAGGCUCACCAAGGCGACGAUCAGUAGCUGGUCUGAGAGGAUGAUCAGCCACAUUGGGACUGAGACACGGCCCAAACUCCUACGGGAGGCAGCAGUGGGGAAUCUUGCGCAAUGGGUGAAAGCCUGACGCAGCCAUGCCGCGUGAAUGAUGAAGGUCUUAGGAUUGUAAAAUUCUUUCACCGGGGACGAUAAUGACGGUACCCGGAGAAGAAGCCCCGGCUAACUUCGUG